rnacentral:rRNA from 1 species
UCACUCUAGCGAGACUGCCGUUGACAAAACGGAGGAAGGUGGGGACGACGUCAAAUCAUCAUGCCCCUUAUGUCCUGGGCUACACACGUAAUACAAUGGCGGUCAACAGAGGGAUGCAAUACCGCAAGGUGGAGCGAACCCCUAAAAGCCGUCCCAGUUCAGAUUGUGGGCUGCAACCCGCCCGCAUGAAGUCGGAAUCGCUAGUAAUCGCAGAUCAGCAUGCCGCGGUGAAUACGUUCCCGGGCCUUGUACACACCGCCCGUCACACCAUGAGAGUCGGGAACACCCGAAGCCUGUAGCCUAACCAUUCGGAGGGCGCAGUCGAAGGUGGGUUCGAUAAUUGGGGUGAAGUCGUAACAAGGUAACCGUAAA